rnacentral:misc_RNA from 1 species
AGCAGCCGCGGUAAUUCCAGCUCCAAUAGCGUAUAUUAAAGUUGUUGCAGUUAAAAGCUCGUAGUUGAAUUUCGGGAUCAAUUAAUCGGUCGUGCCUCUGGUACGCACUGGUUUUAUUGGUUUCUCCCUUCUGACGAACCAGGAUGUCAUUAAUUUGGUGUCUUGGAGAAUCAGGACUGUUACUUUGAAAAAUUAGAGUGUUUAAAGCAGGCUAACGCUUGAAUACAUUAGCAUGGAAUAAUGAAAUAGGACGUUUGAUCCUAUUUUGUUGGUUUCUAGGAUCGACGUAAUGAUUAAUAGGGAUAGUUGGGGGCAUUAGUAUUCAAUUGUCAGAGGUGAAAUUCUUGGAUUUAUUGAAGACUAACUACUGCGAAAGCAUUUGCCAAGGAUGUUUUCAUUAAUCAAGAACGAAAGUUAGGGAUCGAAGACGAUCAGAUACCGUCGUAGUCUUAACCAUAAACUAUGCCGACUAGGGAUCGGAUGAUGUUAAUUUUUAAUGACUCAUUCGGCGCCUUACGGG